CCCCCGCCGCCCCGUCAUCAGAGGAGUUUGCUGAGGCUGGGCACCACCCCGGGAGUGCCCCAGGCCGAACUGAAUGGCGCACGCGGCCCGGCACUAGCGGGUGGCUUCGGCAGGGCCAGACCGAGGCCUCAAGUGUUCUUCUUUGAGAUGGGCGGGGCGCAAGGAACCUCACCACCAGAUUGGCAACAGGCGGACCACGCUCAUGCCGUUCCCGUUCCCGAGGGCCCUCGUCCUUGGCAUGGACUGGAAGGCUUGAGCCUACUCUGGACAGAAGCCCCGCUAACUCCGGAGCUGAUCCCAAGCUGGGAGAGCAAGAGUAGAAGAGGAUGUAGCUGGUGGGAGGCCCCAGGCUGUAAACGCUACAGUCAUCGGGACAAACCCCUAAAAGCGACUGGAACUUUCCUCAUUCCUGUGCAGAGCCUCCAGCUUCUGGGCCAUCUCUUUAUGUCGUUGCCGAUACCAGCCGUCAAAAUUGGGGGACUUGAAGAAACGCCUGUGAUAGCGAGAGGCGGCUGAAGAGCUAGCUGACCUUGUGCAUUUGGGGACACCCACAGCAGCCUGUGCCCAAUGUUUACCCACCUGUAGAGGCCCAGCCAGUCACCCUUGAGGAUGCAGCUCUACUGAUGAUGAAGAGGGUUGUCUGAUCUGCCUACAGCCCCAUUCCCUCGACAGAACCUGCACGUCUCCUACCCCAUCCGUCCCGAGACUCAAGAGACCUGCUAAAGAAGACAAUGUCCCCCCACCUGCCACCAUGGGGCCUGAAUAGAAAGAAAAAGAGUCAGAAGGCCUGGCCAUCACCACUGGAGCAAUCUACCAAGUGCAGGACAGGCCUUACCCGAGUAGAUGGGGGCUGCAGCCCAAGGGGGAAGCACAGACCUGGUUUGGUGUCGAGGGUCUUCAGCCGUGAGGGUUUUUUAAGCUUGACCUGCUUAGGAAGGUCCCCUGUGAAAUAGACCCAGUAGCCACGGCUCAGUACCCACAGCUCUGCCUAUGCCUAUGGCUUCAGAGGUAUUGGAUACAGAACCCCACCUAAGGUCCCAAGCUGGUGAGGCUUAUAGCCUCUGGUCUUCUCACCUGACAUCUUGGGCUCCCCAAUUCGGAGGACAUGAGGCCAGUGCUGGAGUGUUUUGAUAAAGAAAGGGUUUGUGACUCCCA